UCCGUCCGUCCUCCGGAAGUGGGUCCGCGGCAAGUGCCACCUCCCGUCAUCCCGCCUUAUCUCCCCCUGCCUAUCACCACCGCCACCAAGGGAGCACGGAACGUGACUCUGCAGGACUUGAGGUUGUUUUGCAGUUACUAUUCACAGAACUGCAGACGAGGUGUGGGCAGGACAGAGUGCGGGUGACAAAAGACAUGGGGACAAGAGUAACGGCUGUGCAAGAAGGGGGCGGGGCAGAGUGUGGCGGAAGCCGGAGCUAGGGUCACGUCGAGCCUCGCGGGAAGAAGAGCGCAUGCGCAUGACACCUCGGCCAGGUGGUGAAGUUUGGUGCUUGGACAGCCUGGCCAGGCUGGACUUGGGCGGGAAGGGGGCGGAGCGAGAGCCCGGAAGUGAGGGCGGAGUCGGCCGGGGCAGUCUUGCCCGGUCCCCUCGGUUUUACUGUCGCAGCAACCUGCCUCUUUGGGGUUCUGAAGAAGGCUUAAGCUGGCCCACUCUCUGGAUUCGAGUCCUGGUGAGAAGCAAUUCUGGAAGCACCAAGGCCUGUGUUCACCCGUUCUUGCGCUGAGAGCUCUGUAGCAGUACUAGAAGAAAGCUGCUUUGUUUAUUGCUUACUUUUCUCGCUGCAUCUCUAACGGAGGCAGGACCUUCCUUGGGUCUGAAAAGAGACUACUCAUACAAUUGUGUCAGAAUUGAGUUAAAUUGUAGGACAACCAGCUGGUAUCCCAGAGGACUGCUUGGUGGGAGAAAACGCCCAUGCGUUUGGUGUCAGAGACAAUAGACUUGUUCAAAGGAAAAGUUAAUUAUUUCCCACCUCCACGUACCUUAUCCUGCUGAAAGGAACCACUUUCAAAUUUAGUGGAUAUCUUUCCAAAUAAUUUCUCUCUACAUACAUACAGAUAUGUAACAUGUACAGAUUUCACAGUUCAAAGACAGGUAUGUAACUUUGUUUUCUGUAACACAGGCCAGUUUCUGUUUUAGGCCUCAUUCACUCUGAUAGCAGAAAAACUAAGUGUAGUUAACUCAGAAUAAAUGUUCACACUUCAUGAUUUGCUUAUGUAUUAAUGAUCAGUUAAUUCAGGCUUAAUCUGCCUGCACUGUGGGAGACCUGGGUUUGAUCCCUGGAUUGGAAAGAUCCCCUGGAGGAGG